rnacentral:rRNA from 1 species
UACAGGGGGGGCAAGCGUUGUUCGGAAUUACUGGGCGUAAAGGGUCUGUAGGUGGCCAACUAAGUCAGACGUGAAAUCCCUCAGCUUAACUGGGGAGCUGCGUCUGAUACUGGAUGGCUCGAGUGUGGGAGAGGAAUGCGGAAUUCCAGGUGUAGCGGUGAAAUGCGUAGAUAUCUGGAGGAACACCGGUGGCGAAGGCGGCAUUCUGGACCAUAACUGACACUGAGAGACGAAAGCCAGGGGAGCAAACGGG